CUUUCGGGAAUUAGAGACCGGCGCACGGGUGAGUAACGCGUAUGCAACUUGCCCUACUGAAAAGGAUAGCCCUUCGAAAGGAGGAUUAAUACUUUAUAAUAAAUUUCAUAGCAUUAUGAAAUUUUGAAAGAUUUAUCGCAGUAGGAUAGGCAUGCGUAAGAUUAGAUAGUUGGUGAGGUAACGGCUCACCAAGUCGACGAUCUUUAGGGGGCCUGAGAGGGUGAACCCCCACACUGGUACUGAGACACGGACCAGACUCCUACGGGAGGCAGCAGUGAGGAAUAUUGGACAAUGGGUGGAAGCCUGAUCCAGCCAUCCCGCGUGUAGGAAGACGGCCUUAUGGGUUGUAAACUACUUUUAUCUGGGGAUAAACCUAYYYACGWGURARUAGCUGAAGGUACCAGAAGAAUAAGCACCGGCUAACUCCGUGCCAGCAGCCGCGGUAAUACGGAGGGUGCAAGCGUUAUCCGGAUUUAUUGGGUUUAAAGGGUCCGUAGGCGGAUUAAUCAGUCAGUGGUGAAAUCUCAUAGCUUAACUAUGAAACUGCCAUUGAUACUGUUAGUCUUGAGUAAUGUUGAAGUUGCUGGAAUGUGUAGUGUAGCGGUGAAAUG
rnacentral:rRNA from 1 species